rnacentral:tRNA from 1 species
UCAGGGUAGCUCAGUCCGGUAGAGCAGAGGACUGAAAAUUCUCGUGUCGCCAGUUCAAAUCUGGUGCCUG